GAUGAAGAACGCAGCGAAAUGCGAUAAGUAAUGUGAAUUGCAGAAUUCAGUGAAUCAUCGAAUCUUUGAACGAACAUUGCGCCCCCUGGUAUUCCGGGGGGCAUGCCUGUCCGAGCGUCAUUACAACCCUCAAGCUCAGCUUGGUAUUGGGCCCCGCCGACCCGGCGGGCCCUAAAGUCAGUGGCGGUGCCGUCCGGCUCCGAGCGUAGUAAUUCUUCUCGCUCUGGAGGUCCGGUCGUGUGCUCGCCAGCAACCCCCAAUUUUUUUCAGGUUGACCUCGGAUCAGGUAGGGAUACCCGCUGAACUUAAGCAUAUCAAUAAGCGGAGGA
rnacentral:misc_RNA from 1 species